CCUACGGGUGGCAGCAGUGAGGAAUAUUGGUCAAUGGCCGGGAGGCUGAACCAGCCAAGUCGCGUGAGGGAAGACGGCCCUACGGGUUGUAAACCUCUUUUGUCAGGGAGCAAGGUGCAGGUCGGGACCUGCUGUGAGAGUACCUGAAGAAAAAGCAUCGGCUAACUCCGUGCCAGCAGCCGCGGUAAUACGGAGGAUGCGAGCGUUAUCCGGAUUUAUUGGGUUUAAAGGGUGCGCAGGCGGAGGCUAAAGUCAGCGGUAAAAUCGCGGGGCUCAACCCCGCUCCGCCGUUGAAACUGUGUGCCUUGAGUGCGCGAAGGGUAGGCGGAAUGCGUGGUGUAGCGGUGAAAUGCAUAGAUAUCACGCAGAACUCCGAUCGCGAAGGCAGCCUACCGGCGCGAAACUGACGCUGAGGCACGAAAGCGUGGGUAUCGAACAGGAUUAGAUACCCUUGUAGUC
rnacentral:rRNA from 1 species